UUGAACGUCGGAUUUGAGUUUGUGAAACCAACGGUUGAGAUGUAAGCGCGGAUUGAAGGAAGAAAACCGGUGAAACCGAUUAUGGUAAGGUCGAGCACGUACACGGUUGCUUAAAAGGUUGUUUUACCCUAUCCGUCUGGCUCUCUCUCUCUCCCUAAACUGCUGCAAGCGGCCCUCUCUCCCUCAAUCCGUCACCAAAUGCCCCGUGUAGCCUCUCUCUCUCUUCCCUCUUUCUCCGAUGGCGGAUUCGAUGAGCAGCGACGAUGAGCAGGAUUACUAAUCCGAUCGAGACUCCCUCCAAGGAAUCGAAAACGACGAUGAAGACGAUUGCGAUUGGCCUUCUCCAAACGUGCCCUCUUGUCAGGUUUUCUGGAGCAGAUAGGGAGUGGACUCUCUCAAAGUAAUUCAAACAAGGAAACCCCAAACUUACAAAAUGCUUUGCCUCUCUCAACAAGCCAAAGAUCCUAGUUCUGUUGCUUGGUCAUGCAUCAUGACAUGCUCUGUGGUUUGCACCAUGCAUCAUGCAUGCUUAAACAAGGAGUGGAGCAUAGAGGAUUUAUUUAUUUAUUUUUCAUGUAUUCAGACCAUUGUAAACUUAUUGUUGUAAAUAUAUAUAAUUUUUAUUAUAAAGUUGUACAAUAAAUAUAUAUAAAUCCGUAAGGUAGGGCAUGCUUAAUGUGCA